GGACAGUCUCUCAGGAGCCUGGGACUCUCCACCUAGACCAGGCUGGACAGGAAGCCCCAGGAUCUUACCUGUCUCCAUUGCAAGCAUGUUCCAUGGUUGUUCUGUUCACGUAUCACAGGCGCCGUAAGAAACCGGAUCCCCCCAAAGACAGGUGACGACUCUCGAUCUUCCAAGCAUCGAGGAAAUUUUGCUUUUGUCUCAUUUGCCAACUGAGAAAAUGCAAAUGGUGUGUUUAUUAAGAUGUUCUGUAAGAAAAUAAUAAAAACACCCUUUCAUAGA